rnacentral:misc_RNA from 1 species
CCUGCACUGUUAUAACAUAAAAGGUUUUAUUUUUAUUUUUAAAGUUUGGUUUAUUGACUAUCAAAUUAAUAAGUCGGACGUUUUACUUUAAACCCGUGGAAAGGGGCGAACAGUUGAGUUGUAUGAAGCAAGAGGAUGCGUCUUCUAACUGGCACAGUGGCUGAUUUUACUUUGAAAACUUGACUGACUGUUAGCAUGGAGUCUGAAGUGAAGCACUCGUCCAGGGAUGUCGACGUAUUGUCCACUUGCAGCGAGGCGAGCUCGAUUUGCGACGAGGAAAGGAUCAGAAAGCUCUUUCAAGUCUGUGACAAAAACGGCGACGGGUAUAUCGACAGCAAUGACUUACAGUCUGUAUGUCAGGAGCUCGACAUGGAGGAUGUGCUUCAAGAUAUUUUAGUCGAAUUAGGGGCCGAUGAAAAUGGAAUGGUUUCAUUUGAAGAAUUUUUGCAAAAGAGACUAGCCCUGAAAUCUGACAUUAGGGCACUCAAGGACAGUGACAGUAAAUGCAGAGGGAAUGACCCAAAUCUAAGCAGCAGCGGGACAAGCUUGGGUGGACUAAGCGCCAGCAAGGAAAUGUGGGAAUUUGAUUCAGGCGCUCAUGAUCUCAGCCCGAUUCCUAACACCUUGCAAAGAUUAAUCAAACUGCCUGGGAAUUCGAUAGCUCCAAGCAGUUCGACAGGAAUUCUUGAGCUCGCCAACAAGCUUCAUAUGGCUGCUGUUGAUUCUUUACGCAGUGAACUUUCCCAACUGACUGCUCUGCUUGAGGAAGCUCGCCUUGAAUUCCACACUUUGAAAAAGGAAAUAGAGAGAUGUCAAGACUACAUGGUUGAAUCAAUGAGGGAAACUUAUGAAGAACAAAUCACUGAACUUCAUUCGGUCAUAGCAGAGCUGUCACGCAAAGUCGAAAAACAGUCUCAUUCUAUUAUUGAAGAAGAAACGACAUCUGAUGUUGAAUUAAAUCAGCCAGUUGAUUCGAAAGUCACUGAAGAAGAUGACAAUUCAGAAGAUAGCCACCUGCCUACUUUAUCAGAUGAAGAGAUUGUUUUGUUUAAGGAGAAAAAGCAAUGUGUCAACCCGGUUUCUCGUAAAAUUAAUCCAAAAAGUGUGACUAACUUGCCGCCACGAUUGACUAAAAUUCCUUCACAAGAAGCUGAUAUAGAAUAUUGGAAGGCAUUGUACCACAAAGAAAAGGCUGAUGCAGUAAUAAUAGAAGCACAUAAUCAAACAAUCACAGCGAAAUUAAACCAAAUGUCCUUGCUUUUUGCUCAACAUGAAUCAUCUGUUUAUGCAUACGAUGUUGCAUUAACAUUAGCCAGAGAAGUUAUCGAUCAGUAUUCACAGUUGGAUUCUUACAUGUAUUCAGCCUGGCCUAAAAAAGUGAAGAGACCAAAAGAAGAACAGGGUAUUAGAGAAAAUUUAAACAAGAAUGUGACCAAGCUGGAAAAAAUUCUAGCCAACCUUACACCGUUUAAAUUUUUCAGCGAGUCCAAUACAUUCGAAGUACCGACUUAUGAACCAAAGCCCAACAUUGAUAUAGAAGCUGCAAUUCUAACUCAAUGCUUAAUGCAAGAAAGAGUUGAACAAAGAGAGACAAGGCAAAAACUUAUUCAAGCGCUAAAUGAUUACAAAAGCUUGCAACAAAAAUUACAAAAAAUCGAGGGCUCGGACAUAAAUUUGCCUCGUGGAAGUGCAAGCAAUAAGCAUUAUGUGAACCGUGAAAAGUCAGAUGAUGUCGAAGUCAGUAUUGAUCAAGGCAAAGUAGAUCUACUCCCGAGUCUGCAAUACUUUGAAAAGACUGGAAAGGUGAAAUUGCUUGAGAACUCGUUCACGCAGCUUGUAACUCAACAGUCAGAACAGGUUAUGAUAUUGAUGAGAAGAAUACAGUACUUGGAAAAUUCUUUGGCCAAAUGUGAAUCCCCGUUGAAAUCGUGAUUUUAUCUCCGUGACAAUACAAGCUUCACUAUAACUGUAUAAUAUAUUUUACUUUGGUACUGUUACAUUCUAAGUAAUGAAAUGUUUUCUGUGCCUGAAUUAGUAGGGGGAAGCCUUUAAAACGCAAAGGAAGAGUCGCACAUAUUGAGAUUCCCGACAUUAAGUGUCGCACUCUUCUUCCUUGAUCGCUGCGGAGACCUCACGCGCAGUAGUCGUCGUACAUCAGCUUCAUCGUCGUCUGAUUGAAGCGUGUCCUUGAUGUGUGGCUCCCUUGCAGUAACCCGGGUGACCAUCUGUGCGAGUGUCGUGUCCGAUAGGCCGAGGCUUCUCAGGAACUCCGCUGACUGUCGGCAGAGGGCUCCUCUCCACGAGACGGUGAGUGUGCUGACCUCGACGUUGGCCGUCCCCAGUACUGCCGCCGCCUGUCCAGUGAGGUCGUUGUUGCUCUGGUAUUUUUCCGCCUUCUGCCGAUGCACCGCACUGAGAGGAGGUCCUGCCGCGACGACCUGAACGUCUACGAUGUAUCCGAGUCCGUCCCUCGUCGCCAGGAGGUCCGGCUUGAACCUCCCGGUCGCCAUCGAGAAGAAGUGUUCAAGGAGAACCGUAUACCCCUUCUGCUUCAGCCGUCCGGCGAGUGCAGCUACCACGGCGUCAUGUUGAAGAAUUCUUCCGCCGUGGGUACGCCAGCAACUCUGGACGACGUGCGCUGGGGUCUCGGUGGCGUCGCCACCAGCUCGGCAACGGAGGUUCCUUCCCUGGCAUCGCUCUCCCCUCGCUGUCCUGGUCCUUGUUGGGAGAACGUUGAUCCAUGUCCGGGUGUGCUGGAUGAAAUCCCUACCCGGGAUGCUGCCGCAGUUCCUCCAUAUCCACGCUGUGAACGCCUUCUCCUUCCUUGCCUCCCAUAGCGCCACUACUUACUCGUCGUACUUCUUGUAUAGCGUCUCUGCCCAGAAGCGCUGUCUCUGCUCCGGAGUCGAGUCUGUCGGGAGGCCCCUCUUCCUCAGCUGUUGCCUGGCCCAUGCUACCCGCCUCUGGGUCGCUGUGCUCCCGAUCGCUGCCUGGACUGCUGCACUUCCAUCUUCUCGCUGUCUGUCCAGUCUUCUGGCGAAGCACCCUGGUAUGAAGGUCUCCAUGGCAGGCACCCCUAGCCCUCCAUCCCUGUUAGAGGCAUGGAAGAAGGCUUUCGGAGUGUCCUUGGGAAGACGCAGUCAUCCUCUCACCGCUUUCCUUAUUUGUCUAUCAAUGGCGGUGAGUCGGCCGGCUGUUGUCCUUCCUAGCACCAGGGCGUAAAACAGCCUUGGGAGCAAGUGCGACCUCAGGAUCUCUAGCCGCUGUUGCGGCUUGAGAGGGGCUCUUUGGACUCUCUCAAGGAGUGUCCCCAGUUCCAUUUCUAGCCUCAUUUCCCUUACUCCCGACGUACCGAAGUCAACCCCGAGAUAUCUCCACAUGUCCAGAACCCCGACUUGCGUCAGGGAUUCCCCGGACACAGAGAAUCGGGCCGACUCCACUAUUUUCAUCCUUUUAUUUUUACCGUUGGGUAUUAGGGAGAGUACUGUCGACCUCCCCGGGUUCACUUCGAGACCAUACCUGGACGCUGAGGACUCGAAAGCCCCCAGCGCUGUCCGAAGACCAAGCUCUGUCGAAGAGUCCACUCAGUCCGCUAAUGCCAGGGCUCCGAUUCUGUGUCCUUCUAAGCAGUAACCAAUAUGGGGCGGGACCAACAACAGAAUCUGGUCCAUAAA